UCCCAGGUCAAAGACCAAGGGCAGAGGUCAUCAAGAGGUCAAGUCUAAUCUACCUACAGAUGUGGCAGGCUUAACUAUGGAUGUUCAAGCCAGACAUUGCCAGCAGAACCACAUCUCUUUACCCAUAGUUUGGUGGCAGCAGUGGGAUCCAAAGGAGAUAUCUCAUAGCUUUGGGGAUGAGAAACACAGGCAUUGGUACCUGCAAAACCUUUGAGUUCUCCAUCUUUUUUUGCUGUUUCUGAGUCUUGUUGGAGCUCUUCCAGAAGGUGGUGCCCUCUCAGUGCCUGGGC